rnacentral:miRNA from 1 species
GUUCCCUGGUGGUCUAGUGGUUAGGAUUCAGUGCUCUCACCGCCGCUACCUGGGUUUAAUUCCCAGUC